UACGAAGGGGGGCUAGCGUUGCUCGGAAUCACUGGGCGUAAAGGGUGCGUAGGCGGGUCUUUUAAGUCAGGGGUGAAAUCCUGGAGCUCAACUCCAGAACUGCCUUUGAUACUGAGGAUCUUGAGUUCGGGAGAGGUGAGUGGAACUGCGAGUGUAGAGGUGAAAUUCGUAGAUAUCUGGAGGAACACCGGUGGCAAAGGCGGCAUCCUGGGACCGGCAUUGACGCUGAUGAGCGAAAGCCAGGGGAGCAAACGGG
rnacentral:rRNA from 1 species